GGGUUGUGAGGUUAAGCGACUAAGCGUACACGGUGGAUGCCCUGGCAGUCAGAGGCGAUGAAGGACGUGCUAAUCUGCGAUAAGCGCCGGUAAGGUGAUAUGAACCGUUAUAACCGGCGAUUUCCGAAUGGGGAAACCCAGUGUGAUUCGUCACACUAUCAUUAACUGAAUCCAUAGGUUAAUGAGGCGAACCGGGGGAACUGAAACAUCUAAGUACCCCGAGGAAAAGAAAUCAACCGAGAUUCCCCCAGUAGCGGCGAGCGAACGGGGAGGAGCCCAGAGCCUGAAUCAGCAUGUGUGUUAGUGGAAGCGUCUGGAAAGGCGCGCGAUACAGGGUGACAGCCCCGUACACAAAAGCGCAUGUGCUGUGAGCUCGAUGAGUAGGGCGGGACACGUGGUAUCCUGUCUGAAUAUGGGGGGACCAUCCUCCAAGGCUAAAUACUCCUGACUGACCGAUAGUGAACCAGUACCGUGAGGGAAAGGCGAAAAGAACCCCGGCGAGGGGAGUGAAAAAGAACCUGAAACCGUGUACGUACAAGCAGUGGGAGCACAGGUUUACCUGUGUGACUGCGUACCUUUUGUAUAAUGGGUCAGCGACUUAUAUUCUGUAGCAAGGUUAACCGAAUAGGGGAGCCGGAGGGAAACCGAGUCUUAAUUGGGCGUUAAGUUGCAGGGUAUAGACCCGAAACCCGGUGAUCUAGCCAUGGGCAGGUUGAAGGUUGGGUAACACUAACUGGAGGACCGAACCGACUAAUGUUGAAAAAUUAGCGGAUGACCUGUGGCUGGGGGUGAAAGGCCAAUCAAACCGGGAGAUAGCUGGUUCUCCCCGAAAGCUAUUUAGGUAGCGCCUCGUGAAUUCAUCUCCGGGGGUAGAGCACUGUUUCGGCUAGGGGGCCAUCCCGGCUUACCAACCCGAUGCAAACUGCGAAUACCGGAGAAUGUUAUCACGGGAGACACACGGCGGGUGCUAACGUCCGUCGUGAAGAGGGAAACAACCCAGACCGCCAGCUAAGGUCCCAAAGUCAUGGUUAAGUGGGAAACGAUGUGGGAAGGCCCAGACAGCCAGGAUGUUGGCUUAGAAGCAGCCAUCAUUUAAAGAAAGCGUAAUAGCUCACUGGUCGAGUCGGCCUGCGCGGAAGAUGUAACGGGGCUAAACCAUGCACCGAAGCUGCGGCAGCGAACGUAUCACUUAAAGCGAUUCAGCGGGUUACGAUUGACGGAGCGAAGCGACGUCAAAGCGUAUACAAAGUCGAGUCGGUUUAAGGAUACGUUCGUUGGGUAGGGGAGCGUUCUGUAAGCCUGUGAAGGUGGCCUGUGAGGGUUGCUGGAGGUAUCAGAAGUGCGAAUGCUGACAUAAGUAACGAUAAAGCGGGUGAAAAGCCCGCUCGCCGGAAGACCAAGGGUUCCUGUCCAACGUUAAUCGGGGCAGGGUGAGUCGACCCCUAAGGCGAGGCCGAAAGGCGUAGUCGAUGGGAAACAGGUUAAUAUUCCUGUACUUGGUGUUACUGCGAAGGGGGGACGGAGAAGGCUAUGUUGGCCGGGCGACGGUUGUCCCGGUUUAAGCGUGUAGGCUGGUUUUCCAGGCAAAUCCGGAAAAUCAAGGCUGAGGCGUGAUGACGAGGCACUACGGUGCUGAAGCAACAAAUGCCCUGCUUCCAGGAAAAGCCUCUAAGCAUCAGGUAACAUCAAAUCGUACCCCAAACCGACACAGGUGGUCAGGUAGAGAAUACCAAGGCGCUUGAGAGAACUCGGGUGAAGGAACUAGGCAAAAUGGUGCCGUAACUUCGGGAGAAGGCACGCUGACACGUAGGUGAAGUGAUUUACUCACGGAGCUGAAGUCAGUCGAAGAUACCAGCUGGCUGCAACUGUUUAUUAAAAACACAGCACUGUGCAAACACGAAAGUGGACGUAUACGGUGUGACGCCUGCCCGGUGCCGGAAGGUUAAUUGAUGGGGUCAGCGCAAGCGAAGCUCCUGAUCGAAGCCCCGGUAAACGGCGGCCGUAACUAUAACGGUCCUAAGGUAGCGAAAUUCCUUGUCGGGUAAGUUCCGACCUGCACGAAUGGCGUAAUGAUGGCCAGGCUGUCUCCACCCGAGACUCAGUGAAAUUGAACUCGCUGUGAAGAUGCAGUGUACCCGCGGCAAGACGGAAAGACCCCGUGAACCUUUACUAUAGCUUGACACUGAACAUUGAGCCUUGAUGUGUAGGAUAGGUGGGAGGCUUUGAAGCGUGGACGCCAGUCUGCGUGGAGCCGACCUUGAAAUACCACCCUUUAAUGUUUGAUGUUCUAACGUGGACCCGUAAUCCGGGUUGCGGACAGUGUCUGGUGGGUAGUUUGACUGGGGCGGUCUCCUCCUAAAGAGUAACGGAGGAGCACGAAGGUUGGCUAAUCCUGGUCGGACAUCAGGAGGUUAGUGCAAUGGCAUAAGCCAGCUUGACUGCGAGCGUGACGGCGCGAGCAGGUGCGAAAGCAGGUCAUAGUGAUCCGGUGGUUCUGAAUGGAAGGGCCAUCGCUCAACGGAUAAAAGGUACUCCGGGGAUAACAGGCUGAUACCGCCCAAGAGUUCAUAUCGACGGCGGUGUUUGGCACCUCGAUGUCGGCUCAUCACAUCCUGGGGCUGAAGUAGGUCCCAAGGGUAUGGCUGUUCGCCAUUUAAAGUGGUACGCGAGCUGGGUUUAGAACGUCGUGAGACAGUUCGGUCCCUAUCUGCCGUGGGCGCUGGAGAACUGAGGGGGGCUGCUCCUAGUACGAGAGGACCGGAGUGGACGCAUCACUGGUGUUCGGGUUGUCAUGCCAAUGGCACUGCCCGGUAGCUAAAUGCGGAAGAGAUAAGUGCUGAAAGCAUCUAAGCACGAAACUUGCCCCGAGAUGAGUUCUCCCUGAGACUUUAGGUCUCCUGAAGGAACGUUGAAGACGACGACGUUGAUAGGCCGGGUGUGUAAGCGCAGCGAUGCGUUGAGCUAACCGGUACUAAUGAACCGUGAGGCUUAACCUUACAACGCCGAAG
rnacentral:rRNA from 1 species